AGAGUUUGAUCCUGGCUCAGAUUGAACGCUGGCGGCAUGCCUUACACAUGCAAGUCGAACGGCAGCACGGACUUCGGUCUGGUGGCGAGUGGCGAACGGGUGAGUAAAAUAUCGGAACAUACCCUAGAGUGGGGGAUAACGUAGCGAAAGUUACGCUAAUACCGCAUACGAUCUGAGGAUGAAAGUGGGGGAUCGCAAGACCUCAUGCUCAUGGAGUGGCCGAUAUCUGAUUAGCUAGUUGGUAGGGUAAAAGCCUACCAAGGCGACGAUCAGUAGCUGGUCUGAGAGGACGACCAGCCACACUGGAACUGAGACACGGUCCAGACUCCUACGGGAGGCAGCAGUGGGGAAUUUUGGACAAUGGGGGCAACCCUGAUCCAGCAAUGCCGCGUGAGUGAAGAAGGCCUUCGGGUUGUAAAGCUCUUUUGUCAGGGAAGAAACGGUGUUUCCUAAUACGGAAUGCUAAUGACGGUACCUGAAGAAUAAGCACCGGCUAACUACGUGCCAGCAGCCGCGGUAAUACGUAGGGUGCAAGCGUUAAUCGGAAUUACUGGGCGUAAAGCGUGCGCAGGCGGUUAUAUAAGUCAGAUGUGAAAUCCCCGGGCUCAACCUGGGAACUGCAUUUGAGACUGUAUGGCUAGAGUGUGUCAGAGGGGGGUAGAAUUCCACGUGUAGCAGUGAAAUGCGUAGAUAUGUGGAGGAAUACCGAUGGCGAAGGCAGCCCCCUGGGAUAACACUGACGCUCAUGCACGAAAGCGUGGGGAGCAAACAGGAUUAGAUACCCUGGUAGUCCACGCCCUAAACGAUGUCUACUAGUUGUUGGGUCUUAAUUGACUUA
rnacentral:rRNA from 1 species